GAUGAACGCUGACAGAAUGCUUAACACAUGCAAGUCGAUGGGGAAGUGGUGCUUGCACCCUGGCAACCAUGGCGGACGGGUGAGUAACGCGUAAGGGACUUACCUGCAGGACUGGGAUAACAGGGGGAAACUCCUGACAAGACCGGAUAUUGUCAUGGAGCUGCAUGGCUUUAUGAUGAAAGGAGACGCCUGCGGAGAGCCUUGCGUCCUAUUAGCUAGUUGGUGAGGUAAUGGCUCACCAAGGCGAAGAUAGGUAGCCGGCCUGAGAGGGUGGACGGCCACAAGGGGACUGAGAUACGGCCCUUACUCCUACGGGAGGCAGCAGUGGGGAAUAUUGGACAAUGGGGGCAACCCUGAUCCAGCAAUUCUGUGUGCACGAAGAAGGUUUUCGGAGUGUAAAGUGCUUUCAGCAGGGAAGAAGUAAGCGACGGUACCUGCAGAAGAAGCGACGGCUAAAUACGUG
rnacentral:rRNA from 1 species